UACGAAGGGGGCUAGCGUUGCUCGGAAUCACUGGGCGUAAAGCGCGCGUAGGCGGACUCUUAAGUCAGGGGUGAAAUCCUGGAGCUCAACUCCAGAACUGCCUUUGAUACUGGGAGUCUUGAGUUCGGGAGAGGUGAGUGGAACUGCGAGUGUAGAGGUGAAAUUCGUAGAUAUUCGCAAGAACACCAGUGGCGAAGGCGGCUCACUGGCCCGGUACUGACGCUGAGGCACGAAAGCGUGGGGAGCAAACAGG
rnacentral:rRNA from 1 species